AACAGGAUUAGAUACCCUGGUAGUCCACGCCGUAAACGAUGUCGACUUGGAGGUUGUUCCCUUGAGGAGUGGCUUCCGGAGCUAACGCGUUAAGUCGACCGCCUGGGGAGUACGGCCGCAAGGUUAAAACUCAAAUGAAUUGACGGGGGCCCGCACAAGCGGUGGAGCAUGUGGUUUAAUUCGAUGCAACGCGAAGAACCUUACCUACUCUUGACAUCCAGAGAACUUAGCAGAGAUGCUUUGGCGCCUUCGGGAACUCUGAGACAGGUGCUGCAUGGCUGUCGUCAGCUCGUGUUGUGAAAUGUUGGGUUAAGUCCCGCAACGAGCGCAACCCUUAUCCUUUGUUGCCAGCGGUUCGGCCGGGAACUCAAAGGAGACUGCCAGUGAUAAACUGGAGGAAGGUGGGGAUGACGUCAAGUCAUCAUGGCCCUUACGAGUAGGGCUACACACGUGCUACAAUGGCGCAUACAAAGAGAAGCGACCUCGCGAGAGCAAGCGGACCUCAUAAAGUGCGUCGUAGUCCGGAUCGGAGUCUGCAACUCGACUCCGUGAAGUCGGAAUCGCUAGUAAUCGUAGAUCAGAAUGCUACGGUGAAUACGUUCCCGGGCCUUGUACACACCGCCCGUCACACCAUGGGAGUGGGUUGCAAAAGAAGUAGGUAGCUUAACCUUCGGGAGGGCGCUUACCACUUUGUGAUUCAUGACUGGGGUGAAGUCGUAACAAGGUAACC
rnacentral:rRNA from 1 species